GGGUACAGGGGAGCUUGCUUCUGCUGACGACCGGCGCACGGGUGCGUAACGCGUAUACAAUCUGCCUUGCACUAAGGGAUAGCCCAGAGAAAUUUGGAUUAAUACCUUAUGGUUUAUUGAGAUGGCAUCAUUUUAAUAAUAAAGAUUACGGUGUAAGAUGAGUAUGCGUACCAUUAGUUAGUUGGUGAGGUAACGGCUUACCAAGACUACGAUGGUUAGGGGCCCUGAGAGGGGGAUCCCCCACACUGGUACUGAGACACGGACCAGACUCCUACGGGAGGCAGCAGUGAGGAAUAUUGGACAAUGGAGGAGACUCUGAUCCAGCCAUGCCGCGUGCAGGAAGACGGUCCUAUGGAUUGUAAACUGCUUUUAUACAGGAAGAAUAAGGACUACGUGUAGUCUGUUGACGGUACUGUAAGAAUAAGGACCGGCUAACUCCGUGCCAGCAGCCGCGGUAAUACGGAGGGUCCGAGCGUUAUCCGGAAUUAUUGGGUUUAAAGGGUCCGUAGGCGGGCCGUUAAGUCAGGGGUGAAAGUUUGCAGCUCAACUGUAGAAUUGCCUUUGAUACUGACGGUCUUGAAUUAUUGUGAAGUGGUUAGAAUAUGUAGUGUAGCGGUGAAAUGCAUAGAUAUUACAUAGAAUACCGAUUGCGAAGGCAGAUCACUAACAAUACAUUGACGCUGAUGGACGAAAGCGUGGGUAGCGAACAGGAUUAGAUACCCUGGUAGUCCACGCCGUAAACGAUGGAUACUAGCUGUUUGGAUUUCGAUCUGAGCGGCCAAGCGAAAGUGAUAAGUAUCCCACCUGGGGAGUACGUUCGCAAGAAUGAAACUCAAAGGAAUUGACGGGGGCCCGCACAAGCGGUGGAGCAUGUGGUUUAAUUCGAUGAUACGCGAGGAACCUUACCAGGGCUUAAAUGUAGAUUGACAGGUUUAGAGAUAGACUUUCCUUCGGGCAAUUUACAAGGUGCUGCAUGGUUGUCGUCAGCUCGUGCCGUGAGGUGUCAGGUUAAGUCCUAUAACGAGCGCAACCCCUGUUGUUAGUUGCCAGCGAGUAAUGUCGGGAACUCUAGCAAGACUGCCGGUGCAACCGUGAGGAA
rnacentral:rRNA from 1 species